AGAGUAUAGCUCAAUGGUAGAGCGCAUGCUUAGCAUGCACAAGGUCAUGGGUUUGAUCCCCAGUACCUCUG
rnacentral:tRNA from 1 species